AUGGACAGCUAUACGGCUACACGAUGAACCGGCAAAUAAUUCAUAUCUCGCACGUGUAAUUUGCAUUUUGCACGCGUGCCAUAAAAUAUUUCGACAGCUAAUGUGCUUUGGGUUGUCAAUAUGAUUAAUCGUUGCAUUGAAUUUGAAUUUUAUACGUACUUGUUUUGUUAUAUUUGAUAUGUAGACUUAAACUUAAUCUCGAAAACGUAUGUUUGUGCAUAUGCAUGCCUGUGUUCCUAGACAAUUCACAUUUUCAGAAAAGGGAGUGGUCAUUAUUUAUGGCAGGGGAUUGGCAUGACGAAGAGGAAUGUUUUUCUUGGUAAAAAUUUUUCUGAUCCAACCAUUAAAAAGUCAACAAAAAUUUUUAUCCAACCUCAAAUAUGAAUUAAAAAAUAAAUACCCACCCCUGGCCAAAAACUUUACAAAAGGAUACCAUUCAGUUGUCACACAUGUCCUUUACCACUUCUGUGACAUGAGUUUGAUAACUGCUUGUGCAAUUUUCUGCAGUCUAAAGUUUCAUGUUGUCUGCACAUGUACUUUCUUUGGAGACACCGUUUGCCUCCUGACAAAUCGGAAAAUGAUCAAGAUAGUGACUCGGAUUGAUUCACAUAUUGUAUUGACAUAUGACUGUUGACAUUGCUUUUUAGUCUUCAAUAUUUGAGGGAGUAAUGCUUUGGAAAUAAUGAAUUUUUAUUACCCAACCCUUGAGUUGUUUUGUUUUUCAUUUACCCAACCUUUUACUCACUCAAAAUUUUGUUUACCCAACCCUUUUCUCUUCGGUGCCACCCCCCGCCAUAAAUAAUGACCGCCCCCUAAUGCGCAUGCCUAUAGUUACCGCUGUUCUGAUAAUGUAAGCAUAGAAUGGAACAAAGGUAACCAAGUAUUUCAAUUAUAUAUGUGCGUGAAUUGAUAACUCACAUGCCUAGUUACCACUGUUCUGAUAAUAUAAGCAUAGAAUGGAACAAAGGUAACCAAGUUUUUCAAUUAUAUAUGUGAGUGAAUUGAUAACUCACAUGCCUAGUUGCCACUGUUCUGAUAAUGUAAGCAUAGAAUGGAACAAGGUAACCAAGUAUUUCUAUAUAUGUGAGUGAAUUGAUAACUCACAUGCCUAGUUACCACUGUUCUGAUAAUGUAUAAGCAUAGAAUGGAACAAAGGUAACCAAGUUUUUCAAUUAUAUAUGCGAGUGAAUUGAUAACUCACAUGCCUAGUUACCACUGUUCUGAUGAUGUAAGCAUAGAAUGGCACAAAGGUAACCAAGUUUUUCAAUUAUAUAUGUGAGUGAAUUGAUAACUCACAUGCCUAGUUACCACAGUUCUGACGAUGUAAGCAUAUAGAAUGGAACACCACGAAUUAGUUUCUCUAUUUCACCCAAUUGACAACUUUGGCGCUAACUCGCAUGGCUAUGGUGGCAAAUUUUGUUUAGUAAUUGACGAACUUCAUUUAAAUGUCAUUUCAAAACUUGGGAAAGCAUUAUUCAAUAAAAGUACAUUUAUUUUCAGUACACUUCUGUACAGUGCCGUUAAUGCUUAUUAUUUAAAGCGCCACUAAUCUCAAUUUUUCUACUAUCUUACUUUGAAGAACACUUUUAAAAUGAUCUCGUAAUUUGAUGACAAUUCGAUGUAAUUUUUUGCCACAGUAGCCUUUGACGCAUAAUUUUUAAACUUUUUGUAAAGAGUUUGUAAGAAAUCAACCAUGUAUAAUGCGUGUGAUAAAUUAUGGGUGAAAGACUAUUAUGACAAAAAAGUCUACGUUUUGGAGGUCGCGUGUUGGACUUAAUAUGUACAGGAUUGUCUCAAAAAACGCUAUGGAAAUUCAACAGGCUGUCGUGCAUCAUAAACGUGGCUAAACAAUUCAAUUUUUACAUAGGACGAAAGAACAGUUAUUUAGCUUCUCAAUGAUACUCUUUUUAAAUCGUAACGAUGAGUAAUGGCCACAUACUUGCCAAAUAAAAAUUACCGGUCGAAAUCACAUUCUUCCACCGUUGGGAAUUGCAUGGAAAACGAAACGAAACCAAUAGCUUGCAGCAGACUCGCGUUGCUUUUGGAUUGAUUUACUUUGCAUAAUUAAUAUGUAUUUUCAAUUCCCAACGGUGGAAGAAUGCAAUUCGACCGGCAAUUUUUAUUUGACGAGUAUGUAGCCAAUUUUCUCAUCGUUACGAUUUAAAGAAAAGCUAAAUAACAGUUCUUUCGUCCUAUGUAAAAAUUGAAUUGUUUAGAUAAGUUUAUGAUGCAAGACAGCCUGUUGAAUUUCCAUAGCGGUUUUUUAGACAUCUUGUACAUCAAAUUGUCUGAUUCUUCUAAAUUUGCACCCUAUAAAUUUAAAUUACGUUUUAAAGCCUUCCAUUUUUGCUUUUAAAGCCUUCCAUUUUUGCGCGACAACCCUUCUGCAUUGGAAAACUUAUUUUUCGAAAUAAUUUUAGUGGUAGAGAUAUACUAGCAGACCCCAAACUAACCAUGUUCAGCAUAGAGUUUUCGCAAAUUUUGCGAAUUUGCAGUUCAGCGAACAUUUAUACAUCCUGUAUGAUAGAUUGAAGCAACCUUAGCAUCCUACUUACAUAAUAUGUACAUCAUUGGAUGUCAUCACUGCGAUUGUUGCUGGUCAGCGGAUUGCGAGAGUUCAGUGUCUGUCGCCUGGGUUUGCUGUGUCGGUUGAGCAGCUUGCGUCUGCUGAGCCUGCUGUUGUGUCUGGUCAGGGGCUGCGGCAGCUAUGUACACUUGUUGGGUCCCUCCUUGACCCGUGGCAGCUUGGAUUUGAUAAAUCUG
rnacentral:lncRNA from 1 species